AAAUAAAUGAAUUAAUUGAAAUAAUUGACGAAAUUGAAUGAAUUGUAACGAAUUGCAUUUUGCAAUACAAUUGCAUUAUACCCUGGAACCAAUUGCAUUACACCCUGGAACCAAUUGCAUUUUGCAAUGCAAUUGCAUUAAACCCAUACCUUUGACCAGUUACCUGGAAAGCCCAUUUAACACAUAUAUUUUUAUUAUUAUUUAAAAGUUGGUGCACCGAUG
rnacentral:lncRNA from 1 species